UUCACGAAGUGACGGAUAAGAGGAAAAUUUUCACUUUUUUCAAUUUUGAGUUUUUUGCAUUUUUGGACAUCUAUGACUUAUAUCUUGAACCUCAAAAAGUUUCAGAUCACAAUAAUGUCUAAUUACGUUGCUAUGACGACAUGACAUUCAAUAAAAUACCGGGUAAAAGGAUUUCUUGUUUUCACGAAGUGACGGAUAAGCAGCCGUCAAUACGUGAAAACAAACGAAUACGCUUUGCACUCAAGAGUUUUUUCACGAAGUGACGGAAGGCAAAUAUUUACAGUUUGGAACAGCCGAAGACCAUGAAAUGAUGCAGUAUAUACAAUAAGUGAUGUUUCAGAGAACAAAUGAGAGAAGUCCUGGAACUGGUACACUUGCUAUUUAACAAUGCUGAUGGUCAGAUACAAUUCCAGGUUAGAUCCAGGGGCCGACACGCUUGUCAGAUGGGUCAUUGAUGAUUCCCUGAACAUCGCAGAUAUGAUCUGAUUUGGUGACAUGACAGUGGAAUUGGUAGUGACUGGAUUUUUAUAGUGUGCCCUGGUUUUGAAAUAUUGAAGUAACCAAACUAGAAACAUCUUCUGAGAACUCUGACUGCAAUUCUAAUGAUGAAACUCUGUCUACACUUGUGAAAAUGUAAAAGGAGUUGGCUCUACCUCGUGGCCUUUCAGGUUCAGUGCUCUCAUCUAACUUUUUCUUUUUCCAGCUGGGUAACUGAUACCAAUUUUAAUUUUCUUUAGAUUUUGACUUCAACAUAAGUUAAGUUUUAAUUUUGAUAGGACUUUCAAAUCUGGUUUCAUUUUUAGAGCAGUGUAUUAUAUAAAGAAACUAUACUGCUUGAACUAUAAGUCUCUGCUCUUAUAGUGAUAUGAUUAUGAACUCCUUUAAAAAUAUUUUAUAUAUACAGUCAAAUAUAAAGUUCAGAAUAGUCACUUAUCUGCUAUACUUACAUGUUAAAAUUGCUAAUACACAUCGUCCACAUAUGGAUGCAGAAUAAUUACCCUUUUUCAUUCAUUUGUUUCGCAUGUUUUCAUUUUGCUUGGUGCUAUCUAAAAAACAGAAAUACUG